AUGAAUACUAGGUGUGGGGGUUGUCAUGACCUCUGUGCCGCCGCUAACGCACUAAGUAUUCCGCCUGGGGAGUACGGUCGCAAGAUUAAAACUCAAAGGAAUAGACGGGGGCCCGCACAAGCAGCGGAGCAUGUGGUUUAAUUCGAAGCAACGCGAAGACCCUUACCUAGACUUGACAUCUCCUGAAUUACCUUUAAUCGGGGAAGCCCUUCGGGGCAGGAAGACAGGUGGUGCAUGGUUGUCGUCAGCUCGUGUCGUGAGAUGUUGGGUUAAGUCCCGCAACGAGCGCAACCCCUAUUGUUAGUUGCUACCAUUUAGUUGAGCACUCUAGCGAGACUGCCCGGGUUAACCGGGAGGAAGGUGGGGAUGACGUCAAAUCAUCAUGCCCCUUAUGUCUAGGGCUACACACGUGCUACAAUGGCUGGUACAGAGAGAUGCUAAACCGCGAGGUGGAGCCAAACUUUAAAACCAGUCUCAGUUCGGAUUGUAGGCUGAAACUCGCCUACAUGAAGCUGGAGUUGCUAGUAAUCGCGAAUCAGAAUGUCGCGGUGAAUACGUUCCCGGGCCUUGUACACACCGCCCGUCACACCAUGAGAGUUGGCAAUACCCAAAGUUCGUGAGCUAACGCGCAAGCGAGGCAGCGACCUAAGGUAGGUCGGGGGUGU
rnacentral:rRNA from 1 species